UGUGUCUACAGUGUACUCACUUCUAUUCC
rnacentral:piRNA from 1 species